UGAGUAACCUGCCCUUCACUCUGGGAUAACUCCGGGAAACCGGGGCUAAUACUGGAUAUGACUCGAACAGGCAUCUGUUUCGGGUGGAAAGAUUUAUUGGUGGAGGAUGGACUCGCGGCCUAUCAGCUUGUUGGUGAGGUAAUGGCUCACCAAGGCGACGACGGGUAGCCGGCCUGAGAGGGCGAUCGGCCACACUGGGACUGAGGCACGGCCAGACUCCGUACGGGNGCA
rnacentral:rRNA from 1 species